GAAAGCCUGAUGCAGCCAUGCCGCGUGUAUGAAGAAGGCCUUCGGGUUGUAAAGUACUUUCAGUUGUGAGGAAGGGGGUAACGUUAAUAGCGUUAUCUCUUGACGUUAGCAACAGAAGAAGCACCGGCUAACUCCGUGCCAGCAGCCGCGGUAAUACGGAGGGUGCGAGCGUUAAUCGGAAUUACUGGGCGUAAAGCGCAUGCAGGUGGUUCAUUAAGUCAGAUGUGAAAGCCCGGGGCUCAACCUCGGAACUGCAUUUGAAACUGGUGAACUAGAGUGCUGUAGAGGGGGGUAGAAUUUCAGGUGUAGCGGUGAAAUGCGUAGAGAUCUGAAGGAAUACCAGUGGCGAAGGCGGCCCCCUGGACAGACACUGACACUCAGAUGCGAAAGCGUGGGGAGCAAACAGGAUUAGAUACCCUGGUAGUCCACGCCGUAAACGAUGUCUACUUGGAGGUUGUGGCCUUGAGCCGUGGCUUUCGGAGCUAACGCGUUAAGUAGACCGCCUGGGGAGUACGGUCGCAAGAUUAAAACUCAAAUGAAUUGACGGGGGCCCGCACAAGCGGUGGAGCAUGUGGUUUAAUUCGAUGCAACGCGAAAAACCUUACCUACUCUUGACAUCCAGAGAAGCCAGCGGAGACGCAGGUGUGCCUUCGGGAGCUCUUAGACAGGUGCUGCAUGGCUGUCGUCAACUUCGUGUUUGUGAAAAUGUUGGGGUUAAAU
rnacentral:rRNA from 1 species